AUUGAACGCUGGCGGCAUGCUUUACACAUGCAAGUCGAACGGCAGCGGGGGCUUCGGCCUGCCGGCGAGUGGCGAACGGGUGAGUAAUGCAUCGGAACGUGCCCAGUCAUGGGGGGAUAACUACGCGAAAGCGUAGCUAAUACCGCAUACGCCCUGAGGGGGAAAGGCGGGGGAGUCGCAAGACCUCGCGUGAUUGGAGCGGCCGAUGUCGGAUUAGCUAGUUGGUGGGGUAAAGGCCUACCAAGGCGACGAUCCGUAGCGGGUCUGAGAGGAUGAUCCGCCACACUGGGACUGAGACACGGCCCAGACUCCUACGGGAGGCAGCAGUGGGGGAAUUUUGGUACAAUGGGGGGCGAACCCCUCGAUCCAGCCACUGCCGCGUGAGUGAAGAAGGACC
rnacentral:rRNA from 1 species